UACGUAAGGGCGCAAGCGUUAUCCGGAAUUAUUGGGCGUAAAGAGCUCGUAGGCGGUGUGUCACGUCGGCCGUGAAAACCUGCAGCUUAACUGUGGGCGUGCGGUCGAUACGGGCAUCACUGGAGUUCGGCAGGGGAGACUGGAAUUCCUGGUGUAGCGGUGAAAUGCGCAGAUAUCAGGAGGAACACCAGUGGCGAAGGCGACUCUUUGGCCUGUAACUGACACUGAGGCGCGAAAGCCGUGGGGGAGCAAACAAGG
rnacentral:rRNA from 1 species